rnacentral:rRNA from 1 species
AUGCAUGCCCUUAUCGGUAUGGUUCCUCCGGAGCCUCGGGAACCAGAAGCGGAAGACAAGAAGAAGGAAAGAAUUGCAGCUGGUGCUACUUUCACAUGGAUUGCAUGGAACUUUUCUAAUUGCCCCGAGGAGGCUAAUGAGGAUGAGGUCAAGACAUAUGCUCGUGUCUACAUGUGGUACGUUAUAUCAAGGACUAUGUUUGCUGAUGGGAUAGGCAAGAAUGCUUCAUGGAUGUGGCUGAAGGCGUUGACCAUCUUCGAUAGCAAAUGGAGUUGGGGUUCAGCGACACUAGCUUACUUGUAUAGACAGGUAGAAAGUUGUUUCUUUUUCACUUCGUUGUUAUAUUAUCAAUGCGAUCUUCUUGUUAAUUCAACCAUGUUCUCUUUUAUGGCUAAUUUUUUAUAA